UACGUAGGCAGCGAGCGUUGUUCGGAGUUACUGGGCGUAAAGGGUGUGUAGGCGGUUGUUUAAGUUUGGUGUGAAAUCUCCCGGCUCAACUGGGAGGGUGCGCCGAAUACUGAAUGACUAGAGUGCGGGAGAGGAAAGUGGAAUUCCUGGUGUAGCGGUGAAAUGCGUAGAUAUCAGGAGGAACACCCGUGGCGAAAGCGGCUCUCUGGAACGGUACUGACGCUGAGACGCGAAAGCGUGGGGAGCGAACAGG
rnacentral:rRNA from 1 species